rnacentral:tRNA from 1 species
AGAAUCUUUGGCUCAGUGGUAGAGUAUCUGCUUGGCAUGCAGAAGAUUCUAGGUUCAAUCCUCAGCAUUUCUA